UACGUAGGGAGCAAGCGUUGUCCGGAAUCAUUGGGCGUAAAGCGCGCGUAGGUGGCCCCAUAAGUCCGCUGUGAAAGUCAAAGGCUCAACCUUUGAAAGCCGGUGGAUACUGUGGGACUAGAGUACGGAAGAGGCGAGUGGAAUUCCUGGUGUAGCGGUGGAAUGCGUAGAGAUCCGGAAGAACACCGGAGGCGAAGGCGGCUUGCUGGGCUCGGUCUGACGCUGAGGCGCGAAAGCGUGGGGAGCGAACAGG
rnacentral:rRNA from 1 species